AUUGAACGCUGGCGGCAGGCUUAACACAUGCAAGUCGAGCGAGCGGCGGACGGGUGAGUAAUGUCUGGGACACUGCCUGAUGGCGGGGGAUAACUACUGGAAACGGUAGCUAAUACCGCAUACCAUCAGAUGUGCCCAGAUGGGAUUCGCUAGUAGGUGGGGUAAUGGCUCACCUAGGCGACGAUCCAUAGCUGGGCUGAGAGGAUGACCAGCCACACUGGAACUGAGACACGGCCCAGACUCCUACGGUGGGCAGCAGUGGGGAAUUUUGCACAAUGGGCGCAAGCCUGAUGCAGCCAUGCCGCGUGUGUGAAGAAGGCCUUCGGGUUGUAAAGCACUUUCAGUGAGGAGGCGGUACUCGCAGAAGAAGCACCGGCUAACUCCGUGCCAGCCGCCGCGGUAAUAC
rnacentral:rRNA from 1 species